GAAGGCCUUUCGCACAGUCCCAAGGCCAGGAAGACGGAGGACGAGAACCCAGGAGCCCCCACGUCACCCCUGGGCUGUGCCUCUGCCCUCCAAGGCAUCAGUGACUUGAACAGCCUUCAGGCCUAGGUAGGGACAAGAAAGGACCUGCCCGUGUCACUCUGGAAGCCAGCCCACCGCAGGCCAGUUCUUACAGCCAGUCCAAGGUGCUUGGCAACGUGGACCUUCUCAAGAAGAAAUUCUGCUUGAAUGGACCAUCUCCAAGCGGGGCGGGUCCCCGGGAACCAACAAGGAACAGGCUUGCUGUGGACCAGCACUGCUCGAUGGUAAGUAAGACUCAGGCCCACGGAGAGCAGGAAUGUUCCUGGACGCGUCCCAAAGCCAGUUCGGUGCCAGGAACUGGGAACCGUGUGUCCGGAGCUAGCGGGAACUGCACCUCUGAGCAAGAUGCUCCAGGCCGGAGGAGGUCUCGGGUCACGGGUGAUGGAGCUGAAUCCGCCCCGUCCCGUCCCCUCAUCUCGGCCACGCCCCCAGACAGCCUGCGACAGCGUUUACUUCGCAGACGCGGGCCAGACACAAAUCUCCGGGUCUCACUUGCUCUCAAGGAUCCCAGGGAGCUCCCAGGAGAGCCUGGGCUUCCCUGAUCUUUGUGCUGCCACCCGUUUAGGUUCUCUCCGUGUUUGCCUAAUGAGUCCUCUCAUGCCUGUUGCUUUGUUUCCAGGGUUCAAGGCGUCCUUGUCUGCUAAACAGGAAGGCAUGUGUGAUUCUGGCCUCCAGGUGGCUGAGUCCCAGCUAAGAGCGGAGGCAGCCCUGGGCUGUACAGAACCGACAGCAGGGGGUCCUCUGCUUCCUGAAAUGCACAUCUGCCCCAUAGCCAGCCUCCCGCCUUAGGAAAAGCAGCCGGGCUUGUCCCCCAAGCCCACGCAGGCUGUGUCUGUUACUUGCAUCUGGGAUGCCGUGGGGAGUGUGGUACCCAAAGGGUAAGGAGUGUCACCUCGCCUUGGCCAUCUGUGACUCUGGAACUUAAGGACUUCUGUGUCAGAAGAAAGGCACCCCUCUUUGGAACAUUUGCACCUGCAGAACCAGACCCGGGCCCCAGGAUCACGGAAUCCACUGGGGUCAGUAUGAAGUGACCACAGACAUUGCGACCACCAUGGGCCAGCUCCAAUAUGACAAGGCCAUCUGCUGAUGGGCCACAGGCGUUGCCUGCAGAAGGACGCCCAAGGCAACUUGGGUGGAGACACGGCCAGCUGUGUGACAUUAUAGGGUUUCCAGACCUGGGACCAGGAAGCAGCCACAAGGCUUCCUUCCCUCCAACCAAAGUUCUCAGGGUGCAAAAGGCAGCCUUGCCAACCGGCCUGGCCAAUCCCAUGCUGAGCCCAGCCCUGUGCCUGAUCCGUCAUCAAGGGCAACCCAGCUGGUGUUUCAGGAAGAACCCAGCCUUCAAAGUUGACUUCAAAUUGCUAUGAAUCACCCUAUCUGAUGCAAAUGUGGGCUUGGGUAGACUCGGAGAUAGCUGAUUGCCUCAGAUUAAUCCACAGUUGCCUCGGCAGGUAAUUUACUUCUGGGAGUUUCAGGGACUAAGAAGAACAAGGCAUUUGCAUAAAUAGACUAAACUCAGAGUCCAGGCAGCCAGCCGGUUCUCUGGCUGGCAGCUCCUGGUGACAGAGGACUCCCAUGAUUCAGGACCCCACCCACCUAUCCAUAUCCCAUACGUGAAAAGCAUCCUUGAAGUCCGGCCAUGGUCCCCAGCCACUGCCCCUGAUAAGUGGGUGCUCCACUGCAGUGCCCCUCAGCAGGUGGUCUGUCUCUCCACAUUUCUGUGACUUUUGCUGCAACCAAAUUCUUUCUUGCCCUGGGUAGCGAUCCACCAUCAUGGCUCCAGUCACCCCAGGUCAACUGGCUUUGUCCUGGGAUGUUCCUUCAUGCGUUUGAAGUGUUCCCUGGCUUCUCUGUGCAGACCAAAGCCCUGGACUUCCUAAUACAGCAGGGUUCUGGAACACUCCACCAUCUGGUCAGCCUCCUCCAGGCUUCCUUUCCUUGCAGCCUUCCUCUGAGAAUGUGGCAGCCAUACCAGGGGUGGGCUCACCAGUAUCACCUCCCUUGUUUCAGCCACUGUACUCCUAUUAAUAUGACCUGGCCUUUUGGACAGCUCAACCGCAUGGUGUCUCGUAAUAAGAUUUAGAGUUAACUAAACACGCCCUUUGUAAAAUGGGCACUGUUUGGCCUCCUUUCUCCCAGCUGGUAGCUGUUCUGUUGAGGUUUGGAGCUAAAUACUACACUUAAUAUUUAUUUCUGUGUGUGUGUGUGUGUGUGUGUGUGUGUGUGUGUGUGUGUAUUUGUCUUUUUACGCCCACACCCUUGGCAUAUGGAGGCUCCCAGGCUAGGGGCGAGUCAGAGCUGUAGCUGCCAGCCUACACCACAGCCAUAGCAACGCCAGAUCCUUAACCCACUGAGCGAGGCCAGGGAGCGAACCCUCAACGUCAUGGUUCCUCGUCAGAUUCGUUUCCACUGCACCACAACGGGAACUCCCUAUUCCUGUUAUAUAUUGUUGUUUUAAUUUGACCUGUCCUUCCGUCCCUGUCACUCACAGUAAUUUUCUGCCAUUUGGAAACCUGUUACAAACGCCUUCGGUGGCUUGACCCAGGUUAUUAUUUAAAAAGCAUUUUCUGUUAUGGAUGCGGUUAAUCAUUACAGCCAGCAGCUUGCUUUUCUCUACCUUUUUUCAAAAGGCAAUAUGCUAAUGGCUUUGCUAAAAUAUCUUAAAAUGUUAGCGCCGGAAGAGAUGCUAAGGACAUGUGCUUCAACUCCUUCAUUUGACGGAGGAGGGAACUGAGGCAGAGGGGUGCCAGGGACCAUGGAGACCCCCGAUCUGUGGCAGAGCCGGGCGCUGUGACUCAAAUAUUCCAACCCAGGUAUCCUUUGGAUAUUUGUGC
rnacentral:lncRNA from 1 species